AUGGCUCAGGAUGAACGCUGGCGGCGUGCCUAACACAUGCAAGUCGAACGGGACUGUUAGUGACGAUUCGGUCUGAACUUACAGUUAGUGGCGGACGGGUGAGUAACGCGUGGAUAACCUGCCUUCGACAGGGGGAUAGCAGCUGGAAACGGCUGGUAAUACCGCAUACGCGAGAGAUGCCGCAUGACAUCACUCGGAAAGAUUUAUCGGUGAAAGAUGGAUCCGCGUCUGAUUAGCCAGUUGGCGGGGUAACGGCCCACCGAAGCGACGAUCAGUAGCCGGCCCUGAGAGGGCGGACGGCCACAUUGGGACUGAGACACGGCCCAGACUCCUACGGGAGGCAGCAGUGGGGGAUAUUGCACAAUGGGCGCAAGCCUGAUGCAGCGACGCCCGCGUGAGUGAAGAAGUAUUUCGGUAUGUAAAGCUCUAUCAGCAGGGAAGAAAGACCCGCAAGGGGGAUGACGGUACCUGACUAAGAAGCCCCGGCUAACUACGUGCCAGCCGCGGC
rnacentral:rRNA from 1 species